GUGUCCCUGCCCAUGGCAGGGGGUGGCACUGGAUCAUCCUUAAGGUCCCUUCCAUCCCAAACCUUCCUGGAAUUCUGUGCUGUAGCUGUUUCUCCCGGCUUUGAGAGCGUUGCCCUUGGAGAGGAGGCUCAGCCCGACGAGCUGAUGAACGAGGACAUCCGUAUCCACAGCUGGCCUUGCUCCUACUACCUGGACACUGGGAAGCAAUGGAUCUCUGGGAGACUCUCCCUGACUCCCAUUGGGAUCAAAUUCACAGCUGACAAAACCGGGGAGCUCUUGGUCGACUUCCACCUUUCCGGGAUCAGCGAGAUCAAGAAGGAAUCUUCCAACCUCAUCUUCAGCUCCCUCACCAUCCUGGAGAAGAGCACCAAGCACUGGUUCAGCUCCCUGCAGCCCAACAGGAAUGUGGUGUUCAACAUCCUGGAGCACUUCUGGAGGGAGCAGCUGCUGGAGGGCCGAGGGGCGGGAGCGGAAGGAGCGGCCGCGCGGCCCGGGAAGGGCAAGGAACUGACGGGAAUGUUGGCGGGAUCCCAGAAACGCCUGGAGGACACGGCCAAGGUGCUGCACUACCAGGGGGAGCAGUUUGACAACAUCAUGAAAGGGCUCAACAAGAUCGAGGGGGACAUGGAUGUGGCCGACAGGUUGUUGACAGAGCUGGAAUCUCCUUCCUGGUGGCCCUUCAGCAGCAAACUCUGGAAAACACCUCUGGAAUCCAAGCCCAAGGAAGCGGCCGCAGCUUCCGAGCCCAAGAACCAGGAAGGCGUCAUCCUGAGAAUUCCAGUCAUUAUCACCCACAGAACAGACUCCAGUGCCAAGCCAGGAAAACUCACCCUCUUUGCUUCUGGCCUGGAGAUCAGUGACUGCAAUUCCCAGGUGAUCCACAGGUUUGAAUCCCGGGAUGUGGAUGAUAUCCGGGUGCACACUCCCUACGAGAUCAGCGUCCGCCAGAGGUUUAUUGGGAAGCCCGACACGUCCUACAGGCUCCUGUCAGCCAAGAUGCCAGAGGUCAUUCCCCUCCUGGAGAUGCAGUUCAGCAAGAAGAUGCAGUUCCUGGAGGAUGCCUUGGGAUUUGUGGGAGCCAGGAAGUCUCCUCAGGUGGAUUUGGGGACGUCCAUCUGGCAGGCGGCCACAGGACUCCUGGGAGGGGUGGUGCAGCCUGGAUCUCCAGCAGGAAGCAGGGAAGGGAUGGACAAUGAGCAGGUUCAGCUGCAGCAGCACGAGAAGGUCUCCCAGGAAGAGGCAAAAGAGCUGAGACAGAUCCUGAAGAAGCUGAAGGGCCUCGCCCUGGAGACGGAAGCAGAGCUGGAAAGGCAGGAUGAGGCCCUGGAUUCCAUCAGCAGCUCCGUGGACAGGGCCACGCUGACCAUCGACAAGCAGAACCGCAGGAUGAAGAGGCUCACGUAGCCCUGGGAAUGGGAAUGGGAAUGGGAAGAAGAGGAGGAGCAGGGAGCUGGAUUCAUCCACACUGUUCCUGCAGGGACACUUUGGUUGCCUGGGAGGUGUUUGGGAACACCUUGGAAUUCUGUGCUGCUGGUGUGGACUUCCUGAAAGUUGGGAGUUCCUGAAGGUUUGGUUUUCCUGAAGGUUUGGUUUUCCUGAGAGCUUGGAAUUCCUGAGGGUUUGGGAAGUGUUUCCAGGUGGUUUAGGAUGAAAAAAAGGGAAAACUUUUAACCCUGGGAGUGAAUCCUUCCCUACAGAACCCGUGUAAAUAGGAAGGGAUGUGACCGACCCUGACCCGACUUGGAUGUUGCUUUUUUAUGUUGCUACUUCUGAGGGGUUUUUUUUUAGGGGGGUAUUUGUAGCCCUGGAGCCAUGGGAAUGGGAAUGGGAAUGGGAAGAAUAGGAGGAGCAGGGAGCUGGAUUCAUCCACACUGUUCCUGCAGGGACACUUUGAUUGCCUGGGAGAUGUUUGGGAACACCUUGGUGUCCCUGGAAUUCUGUGCUGCUGCUGUGGAGUUCCUGAAGGUUUGGUUUUCCUGAAGGUUUGGUUUUCCUGAGGGCUUGGAAUUCCUGAGGGUUUAGGAAGUGUUUCCAGGUGUUUUAGGAUGAAAAAGGGGAAAACUUUUAACCCUGGGAGUGAAUCCUUCCCUACAGAACCCGUGUAAAUAGGAAGGGAUGUGACCGACCCUGACCCGACUUGGAUGUUGCUUUUUUAUGUUGCUGCUUCCAAGGGUUUUUUUGGGGGGGGGUAUUUGUAACCCUGGAGCCCUGGGAAUGGGAAUGGGAAUGGGAAGAAGAGGAGGAGCAGGGGGCUGGAUUCAUCCACACUGUUCCUGCAUGGACACUGAUUGCCUGGGAGGUGUUUGGGAACACCUUGGAUUUCUGUGCUGCUGGUGUGGACUUCCUGAAGGUUUGGUUUUCCUGAGGGUUUGGAAUUCCUGAGGGUUUAGGAAGUAUUUCCAGGUGUUUUAGGAUGAAAAAGGGGAAAACUUUUAACCCUGGGAGUGAAUCCUUCCCUACAGAACCCGUGUAAAUAGGAAGGGAUGUGACUGACCCUGACCUGACUUGGAUGUUGCUUUUUUAUGUUGCUGCUUCCAAGGGUUUUUUUGGGGGGGUAUUUGUAGCCCUGGAGCCAUGGGAAUGGGAAUGGGAAGAAUAGGAGGAGCAGGGAGCUGGAUUCAUCCACACUGUUCCUGCAGGGACACUUUGAUUGCCUGGGAGAUGUUUGGGAACACCUUGGUGUCCCUGGAAUUCUGUGCUGCUGCUGUGGAGUUCCUGAAGGUGGGGAGUUCCUGAAGGUUUGAUUUUCCUGAGGGCUAGGAAUUCCUGAGGGUUUAGGAAGUAUUUCCAGGUAUUUUAGGAUGAAAAAGGGGAAAACUUUUAACCCUGGGAGUGAAUCCUUCCCUACAGAACCCGUGUAAAUAGGAAGGGAUGUGACCGACCCUGACCCAACUUGGAUGUUGCUUUUUUAUGUUGCUGCUUCUGAGGGGUUUUUUUUUUAGGGGGGUAUUUGUAGCCCUGGAGCCCUGGGAAUGGGAAUGGGAAUGGGAAUGGGAAUGGGAAGAAGAGGAGGAGCAAGGAGCUGGAUUCAUCCACACUGUUCCUGCAGGGACACUUUGAUUGCCUGGGAGGUGUUUGGGAACACCUUGGUGUCCCUGGAAUUCUGUGCUGCUGGUGUGGACUUCCUGAGGGUUUGGUUUUCCUGAGGGUUUGGUUUUCCUGAGGGCUAGGAAUUCCUGAGGGUUUGGGAAGUGUUUCCAGGUGUUUUAGGAUGAAAAAGGGGAAGACCUUUAACCCUGGGAGUGAAUCCUUCCCUACAGAACCCGUGUAAAUAGGAAGGGAUGUGACUGACCCUGACCCAACUUGGAUGUUGCUUUUUUAUGUUGCUGCUUCUGAGGGGUUUUUUUGGGGGGGGGUAUUUGUAACCCUGGAGCCCUGGGAAUGGGAAUGGGAAUGGGAAUGGGAAGAAGAGGAGGAGCAGGGGGCUGGAUUCAUCCACACUGUUCCUGCACUGACACUGAUUGCCUGGGAGGUGUUUGGGAACACCUUGGAUUUCUGUGCUGCUGGUGUGGACUUCCUGAAGGUUUGGUUUUCCUGAGGGUUUGGAAUUCCUGAGGGUUUAGGAAGUAUUUCCAGGUGUUUUAGGAUGAAAAAGGGGAAAACUUUUAACCCUGGGAGUGGCUCCUUCCCUACAGAACCCGUGUAAAUAGGAAGGGAUGUGACUGACCCUGACCCGACUUGGAUGUUGCUUUUUUAUGUUGCUGCUUCUGAGGGGUUUUUUUUGGGGGGGGUUAUUUUUUAGUGAAAGGAGCUGCUUGGGACAAUAAUUUCGAUUAUUACAACCAAUUAAUUCCCUCCCAAGGUCCUUUAAAACACUUAAUAUCUGAAUUAAAGCCCAAAUACCCAACUGAGGCUUUUUUGGGGGGGUGACUUAAUGCUCAGGUGAGCAAAUGAUGGGGAUAAAAACCUCGUGUUCCCUCAGCAAAUGCUUUUAAUUCUGCUUUUAAUUCACCCAGAAAUGAAUUUAUGAGAACCUUGAAGACUUUGGGGGAAGAUUUGAUGGUCCUGGUACAUCAUUUUUUGGCUUCCUUAUUUAUUUAUUAGCACUAAGUGCUGACAAAACAUUUCAGGAGUUCUUCUUAUUUCAACUUCUUUUUCUCCAAUAAAAAAGGGACUAAUGGCAAGUAGUGUCCUUUGGAAUUUCCAGUUGGGAAUAUAGGACAGGAGAGGCCUUUCCCUCUCCUUGAUUGUUGAUAUAUAUAGGAAAGAUUCCAGGUAAUCCAUAGAAAACUCCCACUUCAUCGAUUCCCAGUUGAUUUCUCCCCUUUACCACUUAUUUAAUUCAAAAUAUUUGGUGCAAUAUGUCC